GAUGAACGCUGGCGGCGUGCCUAAUACAUGCAAGUCGAGCGAACAGACGAGGAGCUUGCUCCUCUGACGUUAGCGGCGGACGGGUGAGUAACACGUGGAUAACCUACCUAUAAGACUGGGAUAACUUCGGGAAACCGGAGCCAAUACCGGAUAAUAUAUUGAACCGCAUGGUUCAAUAGUUAAAGACGGUUUUGCUGUCACUUAUAGAUGGAUCCGCGUCGCAUUAGCUAGUUGGUAAGGUAACGGCUUACCAAGGCGACGAUGCGUAGCCGACCUGAGAGGAUGAUCAGCCACACUGGAACUGAGACACGGUCCAGACUCCUACGGGAGGCAGCAGUAGGGAAUCUUCGGCAAUGGGCGAAAGCCUGACGCAGCAACGCCGCGUGAGUGAUGAAGGUCUUCGGAUCGUAAAGCUCUGUUAUUAGGGAAGAACAAAUGUGUAAGUAACUAUGCACGUCUUGACGGUACCUAAUCAGAAAGCCACGGCUAACUACGUG
rnacentral:rRNA from 1 species